ensembl:lncRNA
AUGGAUAUAGGUCUAUAGCAGUUUUGGUCUAGAGUGACUCCCCUUUGAAGAGGGGAUAACCGUGGCAGCUUUCCAAUAUUUGGGUAUCUGAGAUGAUACGAAAGAGAGGUGGAACAGGCUAGUAAUAGGGGUUGCAACAAUUUUGAGCGUGACGUGGGAUGGAAACCUGCCGAGCCAACCGAGGCACGGAAACCUCUCGAGCCAGCCAGGGUGUGAAAGCCCGACGUGCUGGCUUAGGCACCCCUGGUUCCAUCGGCGGUGGACUCCACCCCGACGUCACCAACAAAACCAACAAACAAAAAAACUCCUGGGCCAGCUGGGCAAACAAGACCUGACGAUCCGGCUGAGGCCCGACGUGGUAUGGGCGCCUUCCGAGCCAACCGGGGCAAGGAAACCUCUCGAGCUAGCUAGGGCGCGGAAGCCCGAUGAGCUGGCUAGGCACCCCCAGUUCCAUCGACGGCGACCCAGAGCCGACGUCACCACCAACCGGAAUGCCAGUACUCCCCGAUGCUUCAUAUGUUGGCUGAUGCAUUCUGUCACAAUAAUUGACGCUGGAGAGACAAAGCAGGUACGGGGAGUCAAACAUUUAAUAAAUAACGGACAUGGAACAAGACAGGAACACCGUCAGCACAAGGGUAACAAAGAUAAAAACAAUUAAUGCAUCAGCAGGGAACAGAGCAGGGGAACUGACAAAUAUAGGGGAGACAGGAGAUGAGGGAGUCCAUGUGAAUCCAAUAUCGCUGAUGUGCAUGACGAGGGAAGGCAGGUGUGCGUAAUUGAUGAUGGCAGGAGUGCGUGAUGCAGGUCAGCCUGACGCCGUCGAGCGCCAGGGGGGAAGAGCAGGAGCAGACAUGACUUUUGUCUACAAAACAAAAGAGAUGAUCGUGGACUUCAGGAAUCAGCAAAGUGUGCGGUCUGCACGACACAUCACCGGGGGCAAACUAUCUACCCUCCAGGACACCUACAACACCCGAUGUCACAGGAAGGCAAAAAAGAUCAUCAAGGACAAUAACCACCCGAGCCAUUACCUGUUCACCCCGCUUCCAUCCAGAAGGAGAGAGCUGCCCCGGUCAACUGUAAAUGCUGUUAUUGUGAAGUGGAAACCUCUCGGAGCAACAACGGCUCAGCCGCGAAGUGGUAGGCCACACAAGCUCACAGAAAGGGACCGCUGAGUGCUAAUAAGUUCCAAAUAGCCUUUGGAAGCACGGUCAGCACAAGAACUGUUCGUCUGGAGCACACAAGCCUAAGAUCACCAUGCGCAAUGCCAAGUGUUGGCUGCAGUGGUGUAAAGCUCUGGAGCAGGGGAAACGCAUUCUCUGGAGUGAUGAAUCACGCGUUACCAUCUGGCAGUCUGACAGACGAAUCUGGGUUUGGCAGAUGCCAGGAGAAAAGCUACCUGCCUCAAUGUAUAGUACCAACUGUAAAGUUUGAUGGAGGAAGAAUAACAGUCUGGGGCUGUAUUUCAUGGUUCGGGCUAGGCGCCUUAGUUCCAGUGAAGGGAAAUCUUAAUGCUACAGCAUACAAUGACAUUCUAGGCGAUUCUGUGCUUCCAACAUCGCAACAGUUUCCUGUUUCAGCAUGACAUAUCCCCCGUGCACAAAAGCGAGGUCUAUACAGAAAUGGUAUGUUGAGAUCUUGUGGAAGAAUUUGACUAGCCUGCAUAUUGGCCAUAUACCACACCCCCUUGAGCCUUAUUGCUUAAUUAUACUGUACAUCUCAACCCUCACCUAUUACCCUACAGUACUUCCCAAUAGGAGAUGCCAUAUACCACACCCCCUCGGGCCUUACUGCUUAAUUACACAUCUCAAUCAAAGCUCACAGAUUACUGCACCUGUACAUAGCCCACCUAUAAUUUAGCCCAAACAACUACCUCUUUCCCUACUGUAUUUAUUUAUUUUAUUGAUUUAUUUAGCUCCUUUGCACCCCAUUAUUUUUUAUUUCUACUUUGCACAUUCUUCCACUGCAAAUCUACCAUUCCAGUGUUUUACUUGCUAUAUUGUAUUUACUUUGCCACCAUGGCCUUUUUUUGCCUUUACCUCCCUUAUCUCACCUCAUUUGCUCACAUCGUAUAUAGACUUGUUUAUACUGUAUUAUUGACUGUAUGUUUGUUUUACUCCAUGUGUAACUCUGUGUCAUGGUAUGUGUCGAACUGCUUUGCUUUAUCUUGGCCAGGUCGCAAUUGUAAAUGAGAACUUGCCUCCCUGGUUAAAUAAAGGUGAAAUAAAUAAA